CCGGCGGUUCAAGUUUCUGCGCCGGGAGGACGCGGCCUCGGCCAAUCCCAGGGCUACAGGGCGCUUUUAAAAUGCAGGGGCCAGUGUCAAGCAACUAGCAGGGCUCUUGCCCAGCUCUGGAGAGAUGUGCGUGCCUCCCUUCCCUGUGCGUUCUCCCCACCCUCUGGAUCAGAACAGUCUUCCCAUAAGCUGGAGCCACUGAAAUAACCUCCUCCCCCUUUCAACAGCUGACAACCACUCAGACCAUUGCCCCGAGGAGCAGGGCAGGGAGGGAUGCUCAAUCACGGGGAAACUGAGUCAGGGGAGCUCUUUGCAGGACCAGCUCCCACCUCAGUGCACUUAAAAACACUAUUCUUAUUAUGAACGAUUUCCUAUCACAACGAACUGCAGAGCAGCAGGUGCCUGAAACCCGACUGCCCGGCUUAAGGAAUCACCGCCCGGCUUAAGAAAUCACCACUUUCGCUGGCCCCUGGAGCCCCUCCUGGUCACCUGGCCAGCCCACCUGACCCCAGGGAGCCUAGUUCACUACACAGAGGAGGCCAAAUUCGGAAUCCCUGCUUGAACUACUGGCCUUGGGCCCCUCUCUAAGAUCCGAAGCA